rnacentral:misc_RNA from 1 species
UCAUCUGCAUCACCAACCCGCUCGAUGCGAUGGUCUGGGCGUUGCAGAAGGCUUGUGGCCUCCCGCACAAGAAGGUCGUCGGCAUGGCUGGCGUGCUGGAUUCCGCGCGCUUCCGUUAUUUCCUCGCCGACGAAUUCAACGUUUCGGUCGAAGACGUCACCGCCUUCGUGCUCGGCGGCCACGGCGACACCAUGGUGCCGCUGACCAAGUAUUCGACCGUCGCGGGCAUUCCGCUG